UCUAAUAUUUCAGACGAUGUUACUUUCGAGCGAGUCAUUUUUCUUGAACAACUGAUAACUCAGCAGCUACCUGAGAAAGAAGCGAGGAUGGACAUCUUGGCCUUCGCUGCAUUGCUGAAAAUAUGUACUCUUUAUCAGUCACAAGUCAUAAGGAUGGGUCACGUCAUCAAGUAAACUGAAAGGGUUUCACCUCUGCUCGGAAAAUGUCCAUGGCAAAACCAUUGAAGCAGCUAAUCACAGCUUGCUGGAUGUCUAAGCCAAGAUUAUCUAAUGCCCUAACUGAGGAGAGCAAGAGACCAGGUCGACGACCACAGAACAUGUGUAUGUUUACUGCCCGACCUUCUCGUACCCUAACUUCGACCUUAUUAACACAGUAGUAUCAUCAAUAAUUUCUUCAGAUGACAGGGUUGUAGCAAAUAAUAUAAUUGCAAAUGCAAUAAUCAUGUGAUGGACAAAGGAAAGUUGUCCCAAGAU